rnacentral:rRNA from 1 species
CCUACGGGAGGCAGCAGUGAGGAAUAUUGGUCAAUGGCCGAGAGGCUGAACCAGCCAAGUCGCGUGAGGGAAUACGGCCCUACGGGUUGUAAACCUCUUUUGUCGGGGAGCAAAGAGAGUCACGUGUGACUCCUCGAGAGUUCCCGAAGAAAAAGCAUCGGCUAACUCCGUGCCAGCAGCCUCGGUAAUACGGAGGAUGCGAGCGUUAUCCGGAUUUAUUGGGUUUAAAGGGUGCGCAGGCGGACGUGCAAGUCAGCGGUCAAAUUGCGGGGCUCAACCCCGUACUGCCGUUGAAACUGCAUGCCUUGAGUGCGCGAGAAGUAGGCGGAAGGCGUGGUGUAGCGGUGAAAUGCAUAGAUAUCACGCAGAACUCCGAUUGCGAAGGCAGCAUACCGGCGCGCAACUGACGCUCAUGCACGAAAGCGUGGGUAUCGAACAGGAUUAGAUACCCGAGUAGUC